UGGGGAAUCUUGGACAAUGGGGGCAACCCUGAUCCAGCCAUGCCGCGUGGGUGAUGAAGGCCUUAGGGUCGUAAAGCCCCUUUCGCCGGGGGAAAGAUAAUGACGGUACCCGGUAAAGAAGCCCCGGCUAACUCCGUGCCAGCAGCCGCGGUAAUACGGAGGGGGCUAGCGUUGUUCGGAAUGACUGGGCGUAAAGCGCGCGUAGGCGGAUCAGGAAGUUGGGGGUGAAAUCCCGGGGCUCAACCUCGGAAUGGCCUUCAAAACUCUGGUCUUGAGUUCGAGAGAGGUGAGUGGAAUUCCGAGUGUAGAGGUGAAAUUCGUAGAUAUUCGGAGGAACACCAGUGGCGAAGGCGGCUCACUGGCUCGACACUGCGCUGAGGUGCGAAAGCGUGGGGGAGCAAACAGGAUUAGAUACCCCUGGGUAGUCCCACGCCGUAAACGAUGAAUGCCAGACGUCGGGGGGCUUGCCCUUCGGUGUCACACCUAACGGAUUAAGGCAUACCGCCUGGGGGAGUACGGUCGCAAGAUUAAACUCAAAGGAAUUGAUGGGGUCAUAGCUGUUUCCAUG
rnacentral:rRNA from 1 species